rnacentral:lncRNA from 1 species
AAAACUGUACGUUUCAAAUACCCAGCAAUACCCAACUUUUUUUACUUCCUCAUUUUUUUCUCUCUCCUCCUUUCCCAUUCACUUCUUCCCUGUUUAUUUGGUUCCUAAGAAAAGUUUCUUUUGGAGUGAAAAAUUAGUGGCUUACUUCCAAACCCUUCCAGCAAUUUUGAGGUAUGUUUUUGUUUAUCUGGUUUUGUGUGGCUUACUUCCAAACCCUUCCAGCAAUUUUGAGGUAUGUUUUUUGUUUUUCUGGUUUUGU